CAUUGUCCUAGCAAAAGAUCUCUGAGAGAUGAUCCAUCCUUUGAUGCUAUCAUUCAAGUUUUAUAUCCAAAUAUUGACAAGUCUGAGAAAGAGGAAUUGGCUUCGAUUGAAAAAGAAUUCGAUCUGCCUAAUAAGAAGAAUAAGAAGGCCCGUUGAAAUAUUUAGGUGCAUCACAUGUUGUAGGAUUGCUAAAGGGGUGUUAUUGUGCACUAGUUUACAAUAGCCACACCAUAUUCAACAUUCAAAGGAUGAAAUUAUACUUUUGUGAAGUGGAC